rnacentral:lncRNA from 1 species
UCAGAGCUUAAUAAAACGUGAGUGAAUUUAUGUGGUAUAAAAUAACGUUUUUCUUGUUUUUUUUUUUUUCUGAUGUGUUUCAGAUAGAGUGAUUAAUCAUCUCUAUUAAUGUGGAAAAGAGAGGUUUCCUGGGACACUGGACUUUCAGUGCUAAGAGUAGGAAAAUCUAAGGAAAGCCAAAAGGAAUUGAUCAUUCUAGCUUCAGGGUGUCCUAAAGCUUGAAAGUUUUGGGGUACACGUGAAGAACAUGCAAGACUGUUGCACAGAUUUUGAUAUCAGGAUGAUGCCGGCCUCAUGGAAAGAGUUACAAAGGAGUCCCUCCUCCUCAAUUUAUUGCAGCGGUUUUAUUAGAAAUGGUAUUGGCACUUGUAUUUUUUUUUUUGAAGU